GAUGAACGCUGGCGGCGUGCCUAAUACAUGCAAGUCGAGCGAACAGACGAGGAGCUUGCUCCUCUGACGUUAGCGGCGGACGGGUGAGUAACACGUGGAUAACCUACCUAUAAGACUGGGAUAACUUCGGGAAACCGGAGCUAAUACCGGAUAAUAUAUUGAACCGCAUGGUUCAAUAGUGAAAGACGGUUUUGCUGUCACUUAUAGAUGGAUCCGCGCCGCAUUAGCUAGUUGGUAAGGUAACGGCUUACCAAGGCAACGAUGCGUAGCCGACCUGAGAGGGUGAUCGGCCACACUGGAACAGAGACACGGUCCAGACUCCUACGGGAGGCAGCAGUAGGGAAUCUUCCACAAUGGGCGAAAGUCUGACGGAGCAACGCCGCGUGAGUGAUGAAGGUCUUCGGAUCGUAAAACUCUGUUAUUAGGGAAGAACAAAUGUGUAAGUAACUAUGCACGUCUUGACGGUACCUAAUCAGAAAGCCACGGCUAACUACGUG
rnacentral:rRNA from 1 species